AUACGUAGGGUGCAAGCGUUAAUCGGAAUUACUGGGCGUAAAGCGUGCGCAGGCGGUUUUGUAAGACAGUGGUGAAAUCCCCGGGCUCAACCUGGGAACUGCCAUUGUGACUGCAAGGCUGGAGUGCGGCAGAGGGGGAUGGAAUUCCGCGUGUAGCAGUGAAAUGCGUAGAUAUGCGGAGGAACACCGAUGGCGAAGGCAAUCCCCUGGGCCUGUACUGACGCUCAUGCACGAAAGCGUGGGGAGCAAACAGGAUUAGAUACCCUGGUAGUCCACGCCCUAAACGAUGUCAACUGGUUGUUGGGUCUUCAUUGACUCAGUAACGAAGCUAACGCGUGAAGUUGACCGCCUGGGGAGUAGGGCCGCAAGGUUGAAACUCAAAGGAAUUGACGGGG
rnacentral:rRNA from 1 species